GGGAGUGUGGUCUAGCUUGGUAUGAUUCUGCGUUUGGGACGCAGAGAUCGCGCGUUCGAAUCUCGCCACUCCCA
rnacentral:tRNA from 2 species